UGCAUUUUACAUAAGUACAAUGUUAAUAUAAAGGUACUGUUUGUUGGUUAUAUCCAUUAUCGAUCAUACUCUAUGUAUACGAUGCACGGACAACAAUGUAGUAUUACUUUGAAUACAUGCAUAAUCUAUUAUUGUGCGAUGAUCAUCAUUCAGGAAUAAUAAUAAAGUCAGGACAAAAAUAUGCAAGAGCUAAAAACAAAAGCAUCAAAGCAACAUCAUCAUGGAUGAAUAAUAACAGAGCCAUCACUACGAAACAAAUUAUAUAACUACAUUUUAUUAUGUUUAUCACCUUGGUUGCCAAAACAGUGCGUACAUGACGACAGUGGGACUCGACAAUUUCCAUUACUUUAUCCACAUUUACGACACCAUGGUUAAUCUUUGAUAUCUAAACUAACGAAACCGAAUCCACUCAACCAACAUUUGUAUGAUUGAUGAUACAAUAUUAGGACCAUAAACACUAAUUAUAUUUUCGCCUUGUUUGAAGGAAAACUAUAAAAUAUGCCAUACUUUCUCUUCGUCUGUGUCCAUCUUGGACGCACACUCAAGCAAUACUGAGUCAAACAAUCACAAAACUUAAAAAAAAAUGUUUUUAAGUCACAAUCUUAUCUUUCUAAUGUCAUAUAGUGUAAACUGACUACAUACACUUAUACAACGCGAGAUACACAUUACUAAAGGCAUCUAUUGGAAAAUAAUGAACUUUUUUUUUCCUACACCUAUUGUAUUGUCUAAAUUCAAUUACGAUAAAAUUAUUUACACCAUAGAUUUUUAUAUACUCUAUCCUUAUUAAUGAACAUUGACUAAAUGAACUUUAAAAUUACUUUCUACAUACUAAAAAUCUUUGCAAUGAAAUGUAGUAAUAAAAUGAGAAGAUGUCAAUUUUAUUUUGUCAAUUUGCACACAUUUCCAAGUCCAACCUCCUAAUUUUUAAAGAUCAAAGAGCUCUUUCUAUGAAUGUUUCGCUGACCUAUGUAUUACAUCAAUAUGAUGCGUCAACAUAAAGAUAACAUUGAAAAGGAAAAUAGGGAAAAGGAAAAAAAAUGCAAUUAGUUUUUUACUACAUAUAAACAGAGUGCAGACGUUGUUUGACAACACAUUUUGAACUACUGCAACAGGUUCAUAUGUGAAGGUAGAACGUUGUUUGUUGUUUUGGAGGCUAGCCAAAAGUGUUUGACGUCAUUUAAAAAAAAAUGACACCCAUCAACCAAGUAUUUAUUCCAUAAUUUUGGAAAAGGCAUCCUUGUUACGAUCCGCGCCGUAAAAGGCAAUGUUGAGAUUGAAAAUGUAUUAAAUUUGGACAGGUUCUUUGUUGGAAGAAAAAAACAACAACUGAUGUCCAGGAUCCGCGAGGAAUUUCGGAAUCUGCCAAAAGGAAAGUGUCGUCAAGUACUGCUCCUGUUUCGAAGAUCGAGUCGAAACCGUUACAGACGUCAAUAUCUACAAUGUUGAAUAAAAAUCGGUUUUUUUUAUUGAGAUUUCAUUUGCCAUUGGUUUUAAUUAGAAUUGUAAUAUUAGUUUAUGAGGAAAUACAUUUUUUUAAAGUC
rnacentral:lncRNA from 1 species